UUCACUAUGUAAUCAAUACUCACACUUGUCGACACGGUCGGUGGGGUGCCGAAAACCUUGGGUUUACGGUCACUGGUCGGGGCGGGUGGAGGCGUAAC
rnacentral:sRNA from 1 species